GGCCGCCUGGCGAAAUGGCAUCGCGUCUGACUACGACGCAGUUAUUAUCAGGAGAUUGCAGGUUCGACCCCUGCGGUGGUCA
rnacentral:tRNA from 1 species